rnacentral:ncRNA from 1 species
AUGAUGAUUGCAGGAGAGACUGAACAGCAUGUUCGGCACCGAAGGAGCAAAUCCCAAAAAAACCUUGGGACAGAAACUCUCAGGUAAAAAGACUGCAAUUGGACG